rnacentral:rRNA from 1 species
GGAUUCAACGCCGGAAAUCUCACCGGGGCGACAGCAAUAUGAAGGUCAGGCUGAAGACCUUACCCGAUUAGCUGAGAGGUGGUGCAUGGCCGUCGUCAGUUCGUACUGUGAAGCAUCCUGUUAAGUCAGGCAACGAGCGAGACCCACGUCCACAGUUGCCAGCAUACCCUCCGGGGUGAUGGGUACACUGCGGAGACCGCCGCUGCUAAAGCGGAGGAAGGGAGUGGGCAACGGUAGGUCAGUAUGCCCCGAAUCUCCCGGGCUACACGCGGGCUACAAUGGUUGGUACAAUGGGCAUCUACCCCGAAAGGGGAAGGAAAUCUCUUAAAGCCAAUCGUAGUUCGGAUUGAGGGCUGCAACUCGCCCUCAUGAAGCUGGAAUCCGUAGUAAUCGCGUUUCAACAGAACGCGGUGAAUACGUCCCUGCUCCUU